rnacentral:rRNA from 1 species
GAGGCCUUUCGGAAGCUCGUUGGCUUCGGGUUCCAUCGGAACUCCGAAGUUAAGUGAGUUCGCGUGAGAGUAUACCCAGGAUGGGUGACCUACUGGGAAGUUAUCGUGUGAGUUCC